rnacentral:lncRNA from 1 species
CAAAAAACACACACAAAAAUUAUUAUUAUUAUUUACAACUUAGAUACUUAACACAUAGAGACUUAAUCGAAAAAAAAAAAGAAGAGAAAUUGAUGGAGAAAUUGGAGAUUAAAUUGAAGGGUUAAGAGAGAGUUUUAGGGUUUUGGGAAUUUUAAUGGACUUGGAAAAAGGACAUUUUUUGGGGAAAUCUUUGUAGUAAGAAUAAAGGAAGAUGACUUUGUAUAAGUACUAAGUACUAUUCUUUAUUUUUUGGUUGCCCCUUUGACAAGUUUUCGAGGAAAAUAUUCUUUUAUUUUUUUUUGUGAUAGUGAUGAGAUAAGAACAAAAAGAAGAGUUUAUUGAUUAUUGGUAAGGGUAAAUGUAAAUUUCAAGUUUAA